UACGUAGGUGGCAAGCGUUGUCCGGAAUUAUUGGGCGUAAAGCGCUCGCAGGCGGCUCGUUGCGUCGUGCGUGAAAGCCCUCGGCUUAACUGAGGGUGGUCGUGCGAUACGGGCGAGCUAGAGGCCGGUAGGGGGAUGCGGAAUUCCGGGUGUAGUGGUGGAAUGCGUAGAGAUCCGGAGGAACACCAGCGGCGAAGGCGGCAUCCUGGACCGGUACUGACGCUCAGGAGCGAAAGCGUGGGGAGCGAGUCCGG
rnacentral:rRNA from 1 species